CCUACGGGUGGCAGCAGUGGGGAAUAUUGCACAAUGGGCGCAAGCCUGAUGCAGCCAUGCCGCGUGUGUGAAGAAGGCCUUCGGGUUGUAAAGCACUUUCAGCGGGGAGGAAGGCGUUAAGGUUAAUAACCUUGGCGAUUGACGUUACCCGCAGAAGAAGCACCGGCUAACUCCGUGCCAGCAGCCGCGGUAAUACGGAGGGUGCAAGCGUUAAUCGGAAUUACUGGGCGUAAAGCGCACGCAGGCGGUCUGUCAGGUCGGAUGUGAAAUCCCCGGGCUCAACCUGGGAACUGCAUUCGAAACUGGCAGGCUAGAGUCUUGUAGAGGGGGGUAGAAUUCCAGGUGUAGCGGUGAAAUGCGUAGAGAUCUGGAGGAAUACCGGUGGCGAAGGCGGCCCCCUGGACAAAGACUGACGCUCAGGUGCGAAAGCGUGGGGAGCAAACAGGAUUAGAUACCCCAGUAGUC
rnacentral:rRNA from 1 species